AUUGAACGCUGGCGGCAUGCCUUACACAUGCAAGUCGAACGGCAGCACGGGAGCAAUCCUGGUGGCGAGUGGCGAACGGGUGAGUAAUAUAUCGGAACGUGCCCAGUCGUGGGGGAUAACGCAGCGAAAGUUGUGCUAAUACCGCAUACGAUCUAUGGAUGAAAGCGGGGGAUCGCAAGACCUCGCGCGAUUGGAGCGGCCGAUAUCAGAUUAGGUUGUUGGUGAGGUAAAAGCUCACCAAGCCUGCGAUCUGUAGCUGGUCUGAGAGGACGACCAGCCACACUGGAACUGAGACACGGUCCAGACUCCUACGGGAGGCAGCAGUGGGAAUUUGGACAAUGGACGAAAGUCUGAUCCAGCAAUGCCGCGUGCAGGACGAAGGCCUUCGGGUUGUAAACUGCUUUGUACUAGAACGAAAAAGUCUUUAAUAACACUAGAGGCUCAUGACGGUACUGUAAGAAUAAGCACCGGCUAACUACCG
rnacentral:rRNA from 1 species